UACGUAGGGGGCUAGCGUUGUCCGGAAUCAUUGGGCGUAAAGCGCGUGUAGGCGGUCCGGUAAGUCCGCUGUGAAAGUCGGGGGCUCAACCCUCGAAUGCCGGUGGAUACUGUCGGGCUAGAGUGCGGAAGAGGCGAGUGGAAUUCCUGGUGUAGCGGUGAAAUGCGCAGAUAUCAGGAGGAACACCGGUGGCGAAGGCGGGUCUCUGGGCCGAUACUGACGCUGGAGGAGCGAAAGCGUGGGGAGCAAACAGG
rnacentral:rRNA from 1 species